rnacentral:rRNA from 1 species
UGGGGAAUUUUGGACAAUGGGCGCAAGCCUGAUCCAGCCAUACCGCGUGUGUGAAGAAGGUCUUCGGAUUGUAAAGCACUUUAAGUUGGGAGGAAGGGCAGUAAGUUAAUACCUUGCUGUUUUGACGUUACCGACAGAAUAAGCACCGGCUAACUCUGUGCCAGCAGCCGCGGUAAUACAGAGGGUGCAAGCGUUAAUCGGAAUUACUGGGCGUAAAGCGCGCGUAGGUGGUUUGUUAAGUUGGAUGUGAAAGCCCCGGGCUCAACCUGGGAACUGCAUCCAAAACUGGCAAGCUAGAGUACGGUAGAGGGUGGUGGAAUUUCCUGUGUAGCGGUGAAAUGCGUAGAUAUAGGAAGGAACACCAGUGGCGAAGGCGACCACCUGGACUGAUACUGACACUGAGGUGCGAAAGCGUGGGGAGCAAACAGGAUUAGAUACCCCAGUAGUCCCUGAGCGGGCUGGCAAGGCGCAU